UCCGGUCAUCCUGCUGAAGGUCACUGCUAUCGGGGUCGACUUAAGCCAUGCGAGUCGAGAGGGUUCAGACCCUCGGCGGACUGCUCAGUAACACGUGGAUAACCUGACCUGUGGUGGAGCAUAACCCCGGGAAACUGGGGAUAAUACUCCAUAAGUUACGAUAUCUGGAAUGAUUUGUAGCUCAAAGCUCCGGCGCCACAGGAUGGAUCUGCGGCCGAUUAGGUAGUAGUUGGGGUAGAGGCCCAACUAGCCUGUAAUCGGUACGGGUUGUGGGAGCAAGAGCCCGGAGAUGGAAUCUGAGACACGAUUCCAGGCCCUACGGGGCGCAGCAGGCGCGAAAACUUUACAAUGCAGGAAACUGUGAUAAGGGAACCCCGAGUGCCCGUACACGCGGGCUGUCUGGGUGUUUAAAAUGCACCCAAAGAAAGGGCCGGGCAAGACCGGUGCCAGCCGCCGCGGUAAUACCGGCGGCUCGAGUGGUGACCACUUUUAUCGGGCUUAAAGCGUCCGUAGCUGGACUGCUAAGUCCCUUGGGAAAUCCGACGGCUUAACCGGCGGGCGUCUAAGGGAUACUGGCAGCCUUGGGACCGGGAGAGGUAAGAGGUCUCCGGGGGUAAGAGUGAAAUCUGUAAACCCGGGGGACCCCGGUGGGAAGGACUUUACCAAACGGCUCCGACAG
rnacentral:rRNA from 1 species